rnacentral:lncRNA from 1 species
UUUCCUCCGAGGCCCUUGUAACUGCCACCAAGUAAACAGUACCGGAGAUGCGCUGAUGUCCCUUGGAGAACUGACGCGCGGCUUGGGACUUUAUUUUCUUUACUCAGAUAAUGAAACAUACACAAGCUUGUGUUUCCCUCCUUGCUGUGGCUACCAGAGAGCUCGCUACACUUCAGCUCAGUAAUUCCAUCACCUUGGCUUCCUCCUCCUCCCGCUUGAAGUUUUCAAUUUUCUAUUCCCAGUUUUAGCAACCUUGUUGAACCGCAUGUCUUUCAUUGGAUGCUGCCUCAAAUCCUUUUGAGGAGCUGACAGAGUAUAAAUUAUAAAUAAAAAUAAAUCCCGCUGAAAUCUUCCCAUUGUAGCUUUCUUAUUUCUGGAGUUAUCUGAAGUCUUGAUGCAGCGUUUGUAAUAAAUUCAACACAGAACAUUUUAUGCACCGACAGGUUUUUUAAAUUUCUGUUUCUGCAAAGGAUCCUGGGUUGCUAUAAUCCUGGACUCACCGCCGAAAAUUUUUCAAGGGAAAGCAGUUUGUAAAUACUGUUACUUUGAGCAGUGGCUGUUUGCAACACCUCACCUAAAUCUCAGCAAGUAUUGCUUAAAAUUUGGGGAUUAUUCUCAGCUAGCCUGGGAUCACUGAAGUGGGGGGGGGGAGGCGUGGAGGUGGGAAAAUGUUGCAUCAGGUCAUUUCUGGUUGGAGAAGAACGGUCUUGAGGAAAGCAUGCUUUAGCACAGACGUGCUAAAAAGAAAUGACAUUUCUUUUCUUUCUGCCGUCCAGAGAGGGACCAAAGGAAGAAGGGAUGUCCUGGCAGGUAGAACAGGGCUUGCACAGAGCUAGUGCAAUGUGCACGGUAGAAAAAGGACAGAUAAGCAAACGAGGGAGAAAAGCCACCUGACGUCCCGGCUUCUGUCAGUAACCGUAUCAGCGUCUCGGUGUACCCACAGCCACACUUUGCGCUGGGUUGCAAACGGAACAUCCCUCUCUGCGGCGGAAGACGCACCCAGGAGUCCCCAGGCCCCGCCGGCGGAGCGUCGUGGGCCCCUGUCCCCAAGGCCGGCACCGCCCACCCCCGCAGUCAGCUCUGCUGUGAGGGCUCCGCCCUGCCGCAGCUCCCAAGGCUCCAUUUUGUUCCUUUCAACAGCACUCGGGAGAGCACCCCAUUCCCGUCCCUUUCCUCUCGUCUUCCCUGCCCACCUUUGAGUUGAAACAAGUCUGCCCUUUGUAGAGUGGUUCUUCUCCCUUGUGACUUUUUUUUUUAAUGUUUUAUUCGUUUUUGAAAGCGAGAGACAGAGGGUGUGGGGGAGGGGCAGAGAGAGGGAGCCGUGGAAUCUGAAGUAGGCUCCGGGCUCCAGGCUUCCAGCUGUCAGCACAGAGCCCCACGCAGGCUCGAACUCAGGAACCAUGAGAUGAUGACCUGAGAUC